rnacentral:rRNA from 1 species
UCUGGUUGAUCCUGCCAGAGGUUACUGCUAUCGGUGUUCGCCUAAGCCAUGCGAGUCAAAUGUAGCAAUACAUGGCAUACUGCUCAGUAACACGUGGAUAACCUGCCCUUGGGUCCGGCAUAACCCCGGGAAACUGGGGAUAAUACCGGAUAACGCAUAUAUGCUGGAAUGCUUUAUGCGUCAAAUGGAUUCGUCUGCCCAAGGAUGGGUCUGCGGCCUAUCAGGUAGUAGUGGGUGUAAUGGACCUACAAGCCGACAACGGGUACGGGUUGUGAGAGCAAGAGCCCGGAGAUGGAUUCUGAGACAUGAAUCCAGGCCCUACGGGGCGCAGCAGGCGCGAAAACUUUACAAUGCGGGAAACCGUGAUAAGGGGACACCGAGUGCCAGCAUCAUAUGCUGGCUGUCCAGGUGUGUAAAAUACACCUGUUAGCAAGGGCCGGGCAAGACCGGUGCCAGCCGCCGCGGUAACACCGGCGGCUCGAGUGGUAACCGUUAUUAUUGGGUCUAAAGGGUCUGUAGCCGGCCGGAUAAGUCUCUUGGGAAAUCUGGCAGCUUAACUGUCAGGCUUUCAGGAGAUACUGUCUGGCUCGAGGCCGGGAGAGGUGAGAGGUACUUCAGGGGUAGGGGUGAAAUCUUGUAAUCCUUGAAGGACCACCAGUGGCGAAGGCUGUCUGCUAGAACGCGCCCGACGGUGAGGGAUGAAAGCUGGGGGAGCGAACCGGAUUAGAUACCCGGGUAGUCCCAGCCGUAAACGAUGCUCGCUAGGUGUCAGGCAUGGCGCGACCGUGUCUGGUGCCGCAGGGAAGCCGUGAAGCGAGCCACCUGGGAAGUACGGCCGCAAGGCUGAAACUUAAAGGAAUUGGCGGGGGAGCACAACAACGGGUGGAGCCUGCGGUUUAAUUGGACUCAACGCCGGACAACUCACCGGGGGCGACAGCAAUAUGUAGGCCAGGCUGAAGACCUUGCCUGAAUCGCUGAGAGGAGGUGCAUGGCCGUCGCCAGUUCGUACUGUGAAGCAUCCUGUUAAGUCAGGCAACGAGCGAGACCUGCAUCCACAAUUGCUAACGAGUUCUUAGGAAUGAUCGAGCACAUUGUGGGGACUGCCUGGGAAACCAGGAGGAAGGCGCAGGCUACGAUAGGUCUGUAUGCUCCGAAUCUUCUGGGCUACACGCGCGCAACAAUGGUAAGGACAAUGUGAUGCAACUCUGAAAAGAGAAGCUAAUCCUCUGUCUCUUAUACACAUCUCCGAGCCCACGAGACGCUACGCUAUCUCGUAUG